GAGGGUGUAGCUCAGUGGUAAAGCAUAUGCUUAGCAUGCACGAGGUCCUGGGUUGACUCCCCAGUACCUCCA
rnacentral:tRNA from 1 species